UACGAGGGGGGCAAAUGUUGUUCGGAAUCACUGGGCGUAAAGGGUGCGUAGGCGGGUCUUUAAGUCAGGGGUGAAAUCCUGGAGCUCAACUCCAGAACUGCCUUUGAUACUGAGGAUCUUGAGUUCGGGAGAGGUGAGUGGAACUGCGAGUGUAGAGGUGAAAUUCGUAGAUAUUCGCAAGAACACCAGUGGCGAAGGCGGCUCACUGGCCCGAUACUGACGCUGAGGCACGAAAGCGUGGGGAGCAAACAUG
rnacentral:rRNA from 1 species